GACGGUCCCAAUUCUUCUUCAUCUCUCGAACGCGGCGGCGGUUCUUUCUCCUCCAUCCUCUCCACCGGAAGCGUCAUAACACCAGCAUCCUCUUUCUGCUUCGACAAUGCUCAACCAUCUCAACCUUUGCACAACAAACUCCUAUCACCUUCUCCAAUUUCCUCAUCAAUUUCAACCGCAUUCCAUGUUUCUUAUAAAUCGUCCUCGAUUGUGAUUCUCAAAUCAUCCCCUCCUUCAUUCUCAUCUUAUUCGUCCUAUCUUGAAGAAGGACAUGAAAAUGUCCUACACCACGUAACUGUACGCCACGGUUUCACAGUUGGAUCUACACGCUCCAAGAAACUAAGACUCUAA